CAAGUUUCGUGUCUAGAAGCCGGGCAAGCGAGGCGUCACUGGCGAGCUGGCUGGUGGGGAGGUGAGGUGUCCGGUGCUACAAACAGCGAAGGCGUCCCCAGCACGCCUACGCAGGAAAGUACCGGUGGUAACAUCUUUUCUCCCUCAGAACUACGUGUUGUAUCACUGCCUUGUUAUUGCUGCUGUUGCUACUGGCGGUGGUGGUGCUGUGGCCUGAUGAUAUUGCGACGAUUUACGUCAAGCCGUGAACAGCUUCCGUGAACAGCUUCAUUAUUCGGGUUAUGGAUCAAGGAGAAGCGAGGAGAGACUUUUUGAAGAGAUGA